AAAAAGGAUUUUUUAAAAUCUAAAACACAUUUUCAAGAACUGUUUUU
rfam:Reticulomyxa filosa solexa3716201_1.exp, whole genome shotgun sequence.